CCCGCUGAGUUUAAGCAUAUCAAUAAGUGGAGGAAAAGAAACUUACUAGGAUUCCCUUAGUAACGGCGAGCGAACCGGGA
rnacentral:ncRNA from 2 species